CUAUCCCGAGUGCCAUCCGCUGAGGAAGGCUUUUACCCAGUCUAGAACGCUGGGGGAAUAAGGAGAGGGCAAGUCUGGUGUCAGCCGCCGCGGUAAUACCAGCUCUCCGAGUGGUGUGGAUGUUUAUUGGGCCUAAAGCAUCCGUAGCUGGCUAAGUUAGUCCCUUGUUAAAUCCACCGAAUUAAUCGUUGGAUUGCGGGGGAUACUGCUUGGCUAGGGGACGAGAGAGGCAGACGGUAUUUUCGGGGUAGGGGUGAAAUCCUAUAAUCCCGGGAAGACCACCAGUGGCGAAGGCUGUCUGCUAGAACGCGCCCGACGGUGAGGGAUGAAAGCUGGGGGAGCGAACCGGAUUAGAUACCCGGGUAGUCCCAGCUGUAAACGAUGCAGGCUAGGUGUUUGGACGGCCACGUGCCGUUCUAGUGCCGCAGGGAAGCUGUUAAGCCUGCCGCCUGGGGAGUACGAUCGCAAGAUUGAAACUUAA
rnacentral:rRNA from 1 species